rnacentral:rRNA from 1 species
UUCGCAAUGCCCGAAAGGGUGACGAUGCGACGCCGCGUGAGCGAAGAAGGCCUUAGGGUUGUAAAGCUCUGUCGAGGGUUAUGAAAUAUAGAUGGGUUAAUACCCCAUUUAUUUGACAAAAGCCCAAAAGGAAGCCACGGCUAACUCUGUGCCAGCAGCCGCGGUAAUACAGAGGUGGCGAGCGUUGUUCGGUAUUAUUGGGCGUAAAGAGCACGUAGGUGGUUUUGUAAGUCAGGUGUGAAAGCCUUCUGUUCAAAGGAAGAACGGCAUCUGAAACUGCAGAUCUUGAGUGUAGGAGGGGAGAGUGGAACUUCUGGUGGAGCGGUGAAAUGCGUAGAUAUCAGAAGGAACGUCGGCGGCGAAAGCGACUCUCUGGCCUAUUACUGACACUGAGUGUGCGAAAGUUAGGGGAGCAAACGGGAUUAGAUACCCCGGUAGUCCUAACCGUAAACGAUGGGCACUAAGUAGAGGGGUUUU